UACGGAGGGUGCAAGCGUUAUCCGGAUUCACUGGGUUUAAAGGGCGAGUAGGUGGCCAUCUAAGUCAGACGUGAAAUCCCCCGGCUUAACCGGGGAACUGCGUCUGAUACUGGAUGGCUAGAGAUUGGGAGAGGGAUGCGGAAUUCCAGGUGUAGCGGUGAAAUGCGUAGAUAUCUGGAGGAACACCGGUGGCGAAGGCGGCAUCCUGGACCAACACUGACGCUGAGGAGCGAAAGCCAGGGGA
rnacentral:rRNA from 1 species